AAUCCAUGGUGAGGACAUCUUCUCAUCAAAUCCUUAUACCUCUCCUAAGCCUCAUAUAAUGAUUCAGAAUCAAAUUGCAUGAAAGAAGUGAUAUCAUUCUGCAUCU
rnacentral:snoRNA from 1 species